rnacentral:rRNA from 1 species
UACGGAGGGUGCGAGCGUUGUCCGGAAUCACUGGGCGUAAAGGGCGCGUAGGCGGCCUGGUAAGUAGGGGGUGAAAUCCUGCGGCUUAACCGCAGGGCUGCCUUCUAAACUGUCAGGCUCGAGCACGGUAGAGGCAGAUGGAAUUCCCGGUGUAGCGGUGAAAUGCGUAGAUAUCGAGAGGAACACCUGCGGCGAAGGCGGGUUGCUGGGCCGACACUGACGCUGAUGCGCGAAAGCCAGGGGAGCGAACGGG